CAACUCCGUCGCCUGCAUCGAGGACAAGUGCUACGUGCUCACCUUCAACGAGUACUGCCGGUAUAAAAAGCGGCUAAAAGCGACCGAGGAGGGCAUCACAAUAGCGCCGUCAAUAGUCCCGGCGCUGCCCGCCAGUGAGGUGAGCCCCGCGCUGGCGCCCAACGACACUAAGCUACCACCUUCCGUCUCCCCGGAACUGGUACUCUUUUGUCGGAAAAUUUACGAUUUUCGGUCCAAGAAAAUACACGUUCCAAAUAAAUGAACCAUCGGCCGAAAAAUUUGGAUGUCGAUUUUUAUAAAAAAAUUCGGGCUCGGUGGACCUCAAGAUUUUUGUAAGUAUUUUUAUCCAGUUAGGAGUGAACACCAAAGCUUGGAGUCAUGUCUAUCGGUGGAAUAUCGCAAUUGAAAGCUGCCGAGUUUAAUGUGGACGUCUCGGACGUGCGAACUGUAUACUUUGCGUCGUAGUGUCUCGUCGAACCUUAUAUUAGUACAAAACCCGAUUCCAGUAGAUUGUGUGUGGACAUGUUCAGUUUUGAAUAAUCGCCGAUCGGUCGUUCUGUUGCUUGUACUGUAGUAUUGUUUUUGUUUAUUAAUUUAAUUUGCAAACUUUGUAUCGAUCAUGAUGAUGAACUUUUGACAAUGGAUGCCUUUUAUAACAUAUAAGUAGUUGUAAGGAAAUCAUGAAUGCAUAAUUGUGAAUAGCAGUAUGUUUAUUUUUGCUUCGGGAUUGAUAAAUAUGUAUUGUGUAUUCUUACUCCUGUAGAGGCAAUGAGUGUGCGUAGUAGAUGCUGACUUACUGUCUCGUGUAAUGUCUCGGAUACUGCGGUCUAACUCUCCUUUUUUGUUUUAUUCAGCUAAACGGAAAAAAGCAUUUAUAUGAAUAAAAUAAUUUUAAUUUAAUGUUACAUUGUUAUCUACGUAGAGUUUAUAAUAAAUUAUUUUAAUUAGGUUAAAUACAGCAUGAGAAUAUGGCAUGAGUACUACAUAUGUUACAUUGUGACUUGAUUUUGGUAAUAACCGUGGUUUGUCAAGUCUUCACAAAUCGUAACAAGAAUCAAACAAAUUGUGAAGGUACUUUCAACUUAAUGUAAUUGAUUAUAUUUAAUAAAAGAACCCUAAAGCAAAGUAGAAGUUUUUCUUCUGUUUAAUUAAUUCAUUGCAUUUCUAUAUUAUCUGCAUUAUUACUAUACCAAUUUAUCAUCACAACUAUCUCUAGGCUUUGUAUGAUUUAUAUAGACAUUACAUUUUUAUUCUUAUUAAUCACGUGAAAGUAAUAAUGAGUCUCAUAAAUUGACAACCUAAAUUUAUUUUAUAUUAUUCAACGAUUAAAAUGAUUUGUUAAAUCAAAUUAAGUUGAGUAUCUUUCUUUAAAUGUUCUUGAACCUUAUCUUUCAUUGUCUCUUUAUUUGUCUAUAUACAAAUAUAUAAUACACUUUAAACUUUUUAACCAUUGAUUAAAGGCUGCUUAUAGAGUUUUUUUUUACAAUUGUCUAUAAAGACUGAUUUUGCAAAAGCAAAAAUACUUUUAUUGCAACAUAUAAUUACUACUAUGUUUUGUAAAAGAAGUCGUUGACACAUUUUUAUUUCACAUUAAGUGUCAAACUUUACACUUAAAAAAUAACAAGUGGGAACAUUGUAACAUAUUUUAAAUAUAAUAUUAGAGCAUAGAUUGUAAACAAGUGUGUUGGACGGAAAGAGAUAUAUUGUAUGAUUACUAUAGCGAAGUCUCUUAUCAUUAGAGUUUUAUGUCCGAAAACACGAAUACGACUCAUUUUAAGUUAACAAAACAUCUACAUUCAAGCUUGAUUUAUGUUCGGAAAAGCAAACUACAAUACCAUAUAAAUUUAAAGUGUAUGAAAUUGUUUUAAAUGCGUUUUGUGUUAAUACUUUUGUGUCGCACUGAAAAACAAUUUUCUCUCAUUGGGAUGCGUAAUUUCAUGGGCAUUUACUUAUAUAUAGUAUAUUACGCAAUUUGUGCAUACUUGCUUUUUUUAUUUUUCUUACAAUGUAUCUCUUAAUUUAUUUCCGUUAUUGGCUAUCUCUAUAUUAUUUAUCGAUAUAUAUACUGUACAUAUUUACAUUAAGUUUUAAUUAUACUACUCUUUAUCUUUCCAGUGAGAUAUUAUUUUUCUAUUAAAAACGAGUCAUAAAAGAGAAAAACCGUUUUGUUUUUAUAUAGGUACUUACGUAGAUAUAUACUUUCAAUUUUAUUUUUGUAGAAAAGGUUAAUAAAUAGAAUACAAAUUAAUUUUUUUUCAUCGCGUGUGAACAAACAUCUUCCAUUGUAACAAUAAUUUAGGUUUCACCAUUUAUUAUAAUAAUCUCACUGGUGUCUAUUCCAAAGUUUAAUUUGACCCUAUUACUUAUUCUUUGCUUGAUGCCAAAAAAAGUAAAAUGCAGAAAUUGUAUUAUUCAGUAAUAAUGUAAUGUUAUUCUCUUUUAUAUUUAGGUUAUAAAAAUGUCGGUGGAAUGUGCGCGCGAAACACCACUUUGAUGAUUAAAACAAUUAAAAUCAUUUUAAAUAAUAGACAAUAAAGGACUAAAAAAAUUAAUACGUACAAUAAAAUAUAGACAUUAUAUAAGUUUACCAUUUCAGAAAAGAAUGUAAUCUCGAACAAGAAGUUAUUCUCGUGCACACGUCGUCGAUGUUAUUACUCAUUACAAAUUAAUUAUAGAUAUAAUGAGUAAAUUCCAUAAUAGUAAUAUUACUAUAAGUGAGCUCUCCCUUGCUUGUAGAUGGAAUGUUUUAAAGAAUGUUACCUGGAUUCCGCAGAAGCAAGUUUCAUAGUCACAAUAAUUUUUAGUAUUAGGUUUACUAAUAAGAAAAAUACCUUGUUUUUAUUAUUUAUUUGUUUCGAUGAAAAUUUAUAGGUAUAUUUUAUUAUUGUAACCUACAUAGUUACGUUGGCUGUAAUUUAAUAUUGAUGUAAAAGUAAUAUAUGUAUUUUUAUUUCAAA